rnacentral:tRNA from 1 species
AAUCUUAUAUUUAAUAAAGAUAAUAUUAAAUUGCAAAUUUAAAGUAAUAGAAUUUUCUAUUAAGAUUU